GACGAACGCUGGCGGCGUGCUUAACACAUGCAAGUCGAACGGAAAGGCCCUGCUUUUGUGGGGUGCUCGAGUGGCGAACGGGUGAGUAACACGUGAGUAACCUGCCCUUGACUUUGGGAUAACUUCAGGAAACUGGGGCUAAUACCGGAUAGGAGCUCCUGCUGCAUGGUGGGGGUUGGAAAGUUUCGGCGGCUGGGGAUGGUCUCGGGGCUCAUCAGCUUGUUGGUGGGGUAGUGGCUUACCAAGGCGUUGACGGGUAGCCGGACUGAGAGGGUGACCGGCCACAGUGGGACUGAGAUACGGCCCGGACUCCUACGGGAGGCAGCAGUGGGGAAUAUUGCACGAUGGGCGGAAGCCUGAUGCAGCAACGCCGCGUGCGGGAUGACGGCCUUCGGGUUGUAAACCGCUUUCGCCUGUGACGAAGAGUGAGUGACGGUAAUGGGUAAAGAAGCACCGGCUAACUACGUG
rnacentral:rRNA from 1 species